UCUCCCACCGCAGUUCUCCAGCUCUCAUGCCCGGGCUGCAGACGCCGCCUCUGUGGAUCGGCCAGCCCCGGUGGCCGCGGCCGGACUGGAGGCUCCGGAAGGGGAGAGGGACGGACGCCAAGUCUGCUGCAAAUCCUGAGACCCCAAACUCAACCAUCUCAAGAGAAGCCAGCACCCAAUCAUCAUCAGCCACAGCCAGCCAAGGAUAUGUUUUACCAGAAGGCAAAAUCAUGCCAAAUACAGUCUUUGUUGGUGGAAUUGAUGUUAGGAUGGAUGAAACAGAAAUUAGAAGCUUCUUUGCUAGAUAUGGUUCGGUGAAAGAAGUGAAGAUAAUCACUGAUCGAACUGGUGUGUCCAAAGGCUAUGGAUUUGUUUCGUUUUAUAAUGAUGUGGAUGUGCAGAAAAUAGUAGAAUCACAGAUAAAUUUCCAUGGUAAAAAGUUGAAACUGGGACCGGCAAUCAGGAAACAAAAUUUAUGCGCCUAUCACGUGCAGCCACGUCCUUUGGUUUUUAACCCUCCACCAGCACCACAGUUUCAUAGUGUCUGGAGUAAUCCAAAUACAGAGACAUAUAUGCAGCCUCCAGCUAUGAUGAAUCCCAUCACUCAGUAUGUCCAGGCAUAUCCUCCUUACCCCAAUUCACCAGUCCAACUCAUCACUGGAUAUCAACUACCUAUAUAUAACUAUCAGGUACCUCCACAGUGGCCUGCUGGGGAACAAAGGAGUUAUGUUAUACCUCCGGCUUAUACAGCUGUGAAUUAUCACUGCAGUGAAGUAGACCCAGGAGCUGAAGUCCUGCAGACAGAGUGCUCCGUCCAUGAGGUCACACAGUCCUCCGGGAAUGGCCAGCAAAAGGCAAGGAAAUCUGUGGACCGAAGCAUACAGACAGUGGUGUCCUGUUUGUUUAAUCCAGAGACAAGACUGAGAAACGCUCUUGUCACACAAGAUGAUUACUUCAAGGGAAGAAGCCAAUAGAUACUAUUUUCAAAAGCCUUCUUGGAAGAAGUGUCAGAAAAGAUUGUUACUUCUAAAUGUAGAAGACAAUGUAAAAGAAUAUGGUGGCUACUAAUGGAUUAGUCAGGUGUGAAGCUGAUUAGUAGAAUAAGGUUAUAUCAAUAAUAGGAAUUUUUCACUGAAGUAAAUGGAAUAUGUAUAUUUCUUCCAGGACAAAAGAGUACAUCACUUUAGAAGAAGUAGGGCUGUGCUUAAAUCCGUUUGAAUCCUCUCUGCUGAAGCUUCCAGUGUUGUGGACAAUAGUUACUGUUUUUGAGUAUUACGAAGAUACAGAGAGUUCCUGUUUUCCACUAUUAUGGAAAGUUAAUUCUGAAUUUUUUUGACAACUUAUUGCAAGACUUUCUGUGCAAGUUGUGUUAAUUUUCUUAGUAUGUUGUGUUUAUUUUGCAUUGAAACUAUUCUACUUUGGAUAUUCACUUAGUAAUUGGUUCUAUGUUGAGUUCACAGUUGAAAGGGAAAAGCAGUUGAAGUGGACAGGUAUAACUUUAGGGUUUACAUGUUAGUGCUUCAACUGGUACUGAAAUGUUUUUGAGACUUUAAAAGGCAAAUGUUGGUUUUCAAAAUUUUGCUUUAUAGAAACUUAGUGUUUUGAAAGGUCAGAAUUUUGACAGUUUGACUGUUCUUAGCAUUUAAUCUCCACCAAAUACCUCUUCAGCAGUAAGAUAUAUUUACAAUACAAUGCUUUGUGUUUGUAAUUUAAUUUUAGAAAUUUACCACAGAAGCAGACUUUUUAAAACUGCGUUUUUAAUCAGUGGAACCAAAUAUAUAAAGUUGUAGCUUAAUUGAAGACUUCCAAUUCUAAACCCAGUAUUAUAUAGCAGAUUCUCUACGGACAAUCCAAUCAUUGGGUGUUAUGUUUAUUAGUUCAAUUUUGCUUACAAAGUACCUGGAGUCCAACAAUAGAUAACUGAUUGGGAUGGCAAUUAGGGUAAUUCAAAUUCUGGAUGUAAUUUUAAAAACCGAUACUAACCAAACCUUACUAGAUACAUAAGCUUCUCAGUGGGUUACUUUUGUUUUUCUUUCUUCCUUUUUUCUUUUUAUUUCUUUUUUUUUGUGUUUUUUACUGCUAAAACUUACUUCAAUAGCUAUAUCUAAAUUGUGCAAAAUAUUGGCAUUAAAAAGGAUGCUGAAGCUUUUUUUUAUGUCAUUUAAAGGUUAAUCAGAGUAUUUGAAAGGAAUUGCUUUUAUAAAAAAAAACCUAAUUUUAGUUAUUUGU